ACACGCAUAUAAAACCAUCUUGUAAAAAAAAUUGGAUUUGACAGUAUAAUAUUGGACGUUUUAUUCAGACGAGCACAACACUUUAAAUUUCAGUUAUUAAAUAACAACUGGGCGGCUGGAUAAUACAUCAACUGGCUGUUUUUUCUUUUUUAUCCGUUGUUGAUUUAUCUUAAUUAUAUAUAAAACAUUUUUUUCAAAAAAUAUAUGGACAUAAAGUGUUAAUACGUUUUAUUUAAGCAACUACUUAGUUUUGGCUUACGCCAUCAUCAGGUUGCUGAUAAACAAUGUCUUACAG